rnacentral:rRNA from 3 species
UUGAACGCUGGCGGCAUGCCUAACACAUGCAAGUCGAACGGCAGCACAGUCGUAGCAAUACGAUGGGUGGCGAGUGGCGGACGGGUGAGUAAUGCAUCGGGACCUACCUGAACGUGGGGGAUAACGUAGGGAAACUUACGCUAAUACCGCAUACGUCCUACGGGAGAAAGCGGGGGAUCUUCGGACCUCGCGCGGUCAGACGGACCGAUGUUCGAUUAGCUAGUUGGUAGGGUAAUGGCCUACCAAGGCGACGAUCGAUAGCUG